UGACCACUUCCUUCGGGGAGUUAAGCCCAGACGGACAGGCGGGUCAAGUGCCG
rnacentral:sRNA from 1 species